rnacentral:rRNA from 1 species
UAUUGAAACUUCGGUUGAUUUAAUUUACUUCUAGUGGCGGACGGGUGAGUAACGCGUGGGUAACCUGCCUUGUACAGGGGGAUAACAGUCAGAAAUGACUGCUAAUACCGCAUAAGCGCACAGAGCUGCAUGGCUCAGUGUGAAAAACUCCGGUGGUAUAAGAUGGACCCGCGUUGGAUUAGCUAGUUGGUGGGGUAACGGCCCACCAAGGCGACGAUCCAUAGCCGGCCUGAGAGGGUGAACGGCCACAUUGGGACUGAGACACGGCCCAGACUCCUACGGGAGGCAGCAGUGGGGAAUAUUGCACAAUGGGGGAAACCCUGAUGCAGCGACGCCGCGUGAAGGAAGAAGUAUCUCGGUAUGUAAACUUCUAUCAGCAGGGAAGAAAAUGACGGUACCUGACUAAGAAGCCCCGGCUAACUACGUGCCAGCAGCCGCGGUAAUACGUAGGGGGCAAGCGUUAUCCGGAUUUACUGGGUGUAAAGGGAGCGUAGACGGAUGGACAGGUCUGAUGUGAAAGGCUGGGGCUCAACCCCGGGACUGCAUUGGAAACUGCCCGUCUUGAGUGCCGGAGAGGUAAGCGGAAUUCCUAGUGUAGCGGUGAAAUGCGUAGAUAUUAGGAGGAACACCAGUGGCGAAGGCGGCUUACUGGACGGUAACUGACGUUGAGGCUCGAAAGCGUGGGGAGCAAACA